rfam:Otolemur garnettii contig048004, whole genome shotgun sequence.
GCCGGGUGCGGUGGUGUGUGCCUGUAGUCCCAGCUACUCAGGAGGCUGAGACAGGAGGAUUGCUCAAGUCCAGGAGUUCUGGGCUGUAGUGCACUAUGCCGAUUGGUGUCCACACUAAGUUCCACAUCAAUAUGGUGACCUCCUAGGAGCGGAGGGCUAUCAGGUUAGAAACACAGCAGGUCAAAGCUCCUGGGCUGAUCAGUAGUAGGAUCGCGCUUGUGAAUAGCCACUGCACUCCAGCCUGGGCAAUAGUGAGACCCGUCUCUA